AUUGAACGCUGGCGGCAUGCCUUACACAUGCAAGUCGAACGGUAACAGGUUAAGCUGACGAGUGGCGAACGGGUGAGUAAUACAUCGGAACGUGCCCAGUAGUGGGGGAUAGCCCGGCGAAAGCCGGAUUAAUACCGCAUACGACCUACGGGUGAAAGGGGGGGAUCGCAAGACCCCUCGCUAUUGGAGCGGCCGAUGUCAGAUUAGGUAGUUGGUGGGGUAAAAGCCUACCAAGCCGACGAUCUGUAGCUGUGCUGAGAGGACGACCAGCCACACGGGGACUGAGACACGGCGCAGACUCCUACGGGAGGCAGCAGUGGGGAAUUUUGGACAAUGGGCGCAAGCCUGAUCCAGCCAUGCCGCGGGCGGGAAGAAGGCCUUCGGGUUGUAAACCGCUUUUGUCAGGGAAGAAACGCUCUGGGUUAAUACCCUGGGGUAAUGACGGUACCUGAAGAAUAAGCACCGGCUAACUACGUGCCAGCCGCCGCCGUAA
rnacentral:rRNA from 1 species